rnacentral:lncRNA from 1 species
CUUUGGAGUUUAUGACCUUAAAAUCCUUAACAUACAUUUUUCUCUCCAAAAUACAUCAUUUUAAGACUGUUUGAGAAGAGACACCACAUGCCAGUUCCAUGGCCCAUUAAAGUUAACCAACCAUGCAGAUUUAGUGGGAAUGAUGAAAAUAGUAAAAGACUUGGGUAGUUUUCUAGAAUGGCUUAAAUCAUCAUGAAAUGCCAAGGAAAAGUAACAGUGAACUUGUGAAACACCACAAAGCUGGCAGAACCCCGGCCAUAUCUCAUUGCCUGUGUCCUUUUUGAUGUGGAGAAGGUACAGAGUGGCUCUAGUGACCACCAGGGACAGAGACCUGGGGGCCUCUGUUCACUCCCGAGAGGUGUCUAUAGACUGUAGGGUCUGCCCAAGAGGUUAUCCGGAAACCAGAAGACCCAUGUGUGGAUGGUCAGGGCAGUGGCUAGAGAAAAACAAAGCCCUUUACUACUUACAAGCUUUGAAGUCUAGAUCCUCUAUAAAUUAUUCAGGCAAGUUAAGGCGGCGGCCAUUGCCAACAAGACCAUGCCCCCUGUGGUUGCUAUAGUUAAUUAAGUGCCUUCUAUACAGCAGGCAGUGUUAGAUGCUUCCGGGAUGUUUAAUCUUUCCAGUAACCAGUUCUGGCAAGUGUCAUCUCCAUAUUACACAUGGAGAAACUGAAGCUCAGAGAGGUAAAGUCACUUGCCCAAGGCCACAGAGCUGGUAAGUGGCAGAUUUAGGAUUUCAACCAAGGCUGGUUUCAACACACACAUUCCAAGAAGAGGCUUUGCUCAGCACUAAGUUGGAACCCAAAAUACAACAACUGGUAUAAUUUCUACUGGCAUCAUGGUGGUCUACAAUCUCUUCCCAGUGGGCCCCAUAUCCCCAGGCCCAAGACCCUAAUGGGGACCACUCCAUCGACCACCAGAAUCCUGCCCCUGGGCCAGUGGGUCUCAUGAUCCAGUUAAGCCCCAGUGGGCACAGACACGGCGAUGCGGUCCUUGCCUCAGAAUCAGGCCAGCCAUACAUGUCCGGAACACCCACCAGCCUGCUCCCUCCCCAGGGCACUUGCUGAGCUCUUGCCUGCUGCACUCUAGCCUGGCCAGCCACGGCCUGAAUGAGCUCCAGACUCCAGCCCAGAGGGUGCUGGGGAGCAGCCCCGCAUGCUGCCACUCAUAUCUUAUGGCUAUUUACACC